rnacentral:rRNA from 1 species
GAUGAGCGCUGGCGGCGUGCCUAGUACAUGCAAGUCGAGCGAACGGACGAGAAGCUUGCUUCUCUGAUGUUAGCGGCGGACGGGUGAGUAACACGUGGAUAACCUACCUAUAAGACUGGGAUAACCUCGGGAAACCGUAGCUAAUACCGGAUAAUAUUUUGAACCGCAUGGUUCAAAAGUGAAAGACGGUCUUGCUGUCACUUAUAGAUGGAUCCGCGCUGCAUUAGCUAGUUGGUAAGGUAACGGCUUACCAAGGCAACGAUGCAUAGCCGACCUGAGAGGGUGAUCGGCCACACUGGAACUGAGACACGGUCCAGACUCCUACGGGAGGCAGCAGUAGGGAAUCUUCCGCAAUGGGCGAAAGCCUGACGGAGCAACGCCGCGUGAGUGAUGAAGGUCUUCGGAUCGUAAAACUCUGUUAUUAGGGAAGAACAUAUGUGUAAGUAACUGUGCACAUCUUGACGGUACCUAAUCAGAAAGCCACGGCUAACUACGUG